ACGGACUUAAAAUCCGUCGACU
rnacentral:tRNA from 1 species